UACGUAGGUGGCAAGCGUUGUCCGGAUUUACUGGGCGUAAAGGGAGCGUAGGCGGACUUUUAAGUGGGAUGUGAAAUACCCGGGCUUAACCUGGGUGCUGCAUUCCAAACUGGAAGUCUAGAGUGCAGGAGGGGAAAGUGGAAUUCCUAGUGUAGCGGUGAAAUGCGUAGAUAUUAGGAAGAACACCAGUGGCGAAGGCGACUUUCUGGACUGUAACUGACGCUGAGGCUCGAAAGCGUGGGGAGCGAAC
rnacentral:rRNA from 1 species